GGGUGUCAUUUGUUGGAAAUUCUAUUUUAGAGACAAGUUCAUGAAAUAACGAGGUACAUUGAAAUCAAUCAUCUGCGUGCUAAAGCCUUUUCCUUAAUUAGUUAAUUAGCAGCUAUUACACGCGCAAACAUCUAGAAUAUAACACAUCCGCGCAUUGAUGAUGAUGAAGCAUUUCCCUUGUGUCACCAACAAUUAUGUGCAGAUCUCAAGGGGCUAGAUCUGAAACCUGGUUCCUUCACUUUGAGGCAGCUGAGAGCUGCCACUAACAAUUUUGAUUCUGCUGGCAAAAUUGGAGAAGGUGGAUUUGGCUCCGUAUACAAGGGUAAAUUGUCAGAUGGAACUCUUAUUGCUGUUAAGCAGCUAUCUCCUAAAUCCAGGCAAGGAAACCGAGAAUUUGUGAAUGAAAUAGGCAUGAUAUCUGGUUUACAGCAUCCCAAUCUUGUAAAGCUUUAUGGAUGCUGUAUUGAAGGAGAUCAGUUGCUUCUGGUGUACGAAUACAUGGAAAACAACUCCCUCGCCAAAGCACUUUUUGCUACAGGUUCAGAAACAAGUUUUCUGAUGCUGGAUUGGCUAACAAGAUAUAAGAUAUGUGUUGGAAUAGCCAGAGGUUUAGCAUUUCUCCAUGAAGAAUCUGCAAUCAGGAUUGUUCACAGAGACAUCAAAGGUACAAAUGUAUUACUGGACAAAGAUCUAAGUGCCAAGAUAUCAGACUUUGGACUAGCUAAGCUCAAUGAAGAGGAGAACACUCACAUUAGCACUCGUGUUGCUUGAACCAUAGGAUAUAUGGCUCCAGAAUAUGCGCUGUGGGGUUAUUUAACAGACAAAGCAGAUGUUUAUAGUUUUGUUGUUGUUGAGUAGUCACCAUUUUUGAAUGCAAGAAGUAAAGGCAGACAAAUCAAGGAGUUGCAGAGAAAAAAAAAUCUGGAGAGAAUUGCCGAUAAUGAAGGUAGAAACAGAAGCAGAAACCAGAGAGUGUGGAAGCAGGAGAUCACAAGAUCAAGAAUUCAGAGCUCUGAUACCAUGUAAAGAUAGAAGAUUUACACAGGAGUACAAUAGAAAACUAAGCAGAGAGGUAAAGGAAGCAGAGAGAAUGUCUGAUAGGUGAAGGAAGAAGAAGAAUAUGUUCACUGUAAUUCAUUACCCUGUUUUACACUGUUACAGAUCUUUUAUAUCAAGCUAUAGACGUGAACAAGCUUCUGACCUCAAUAUUAAUAGACUUUCUUAAUUAUCCAA